UCAAAAACAAAGAUGGGGACGAGUAAACUGUUGAAGUCGUUGCAGAGAGUCCGAGGUCAGGUGUGAAGCGGAUACGAAAAGGCAGUUGAAAAUCACCCCGUAGUUGCAAAUCAGAAAUCAGUGGUCAGUUAUCAGUAACCAGUAACCAGUAAUCAGUUAUCAGACACUGAAAGUAAGUGAGCCGAAGUAGUGAGUCUUCGUUAUCAAAACAAAUGAGAGUCUAUUUUAUAAAAAUAGAAAUCAGAGUGGUACCGCGUGAGCAUUGCUCUCGUCUCUGUG
rnacentral:ncRNA from 1 species